CAUAGCGACUAUCGUGGCAUAUCAAUAAGCGGAGGAAAAGAAACUAACAAGGAUUCCCCUAGUAACGGCGAGUGAAGCGGGAAGAGCUCAAAUUUGAAAUCUUCAAGGGUUUCCCUUUACGAAUUGUAGUUUAAAGAAGUGUUUUCUGUUAGAGAGUUCGGUAAAAGUUCUUUGGAAUAGGACAUCAUAGAGGGUGAGAAUCCCGUAUUUGACGUCACUUUCUACUAGCGUUGUGAUACACUUUCAAAGAGUCGGAUUGUUUGGGAAUGCAGUCCAAAAUGGGUGGUAAAUUUCAUCUAAAGCUAAAUAUUGGCGAGAGACCGAUAGCGAACAAGUACCGUGAGGGAAAGAUGAAAAGAACUUUGAAAAGAGAGUUAAACAGUACGUGAAAUUGUCAAAAGGGAAGCGUUUGACACCAGUGUUGUUUAGUUGAAAAUCAAUUCAAUAAUUUUUGAUUUUAAGUAGUAUUGACUUCAUCAGCUUGCUGCUUUCUUUUCAGGAAUUAUUGAAUGCACUUUUCAGUUAACAAGUCAACAUCAAUUUCUUUUGUUGUAAAAGGGUAAGAGGAAGGCGGCUUACGCUUCGGCGUAAGUGUUUAUAGCCUUUUACCUCUGCAAUCGGAGAGAUUGAGGACAGCAGCGUAGACUCUUCGGGGUUAGAUACACUUGUGCUAAGCUAUAGCCUUGUAUAGACAACUUGUUGACUAUGCUCAGUCAUGUAGCUUACUCGCUUGUGCUAUUUUACCUACGCUUAGGAUGUUGAAGAUAUGCGCGACACG
rnacentral:rRNA from 1 species